AGGUUGUUAAUGGAUUCUUCUGGGUGGAAAACCAGUUUCUAAACAUGAUUCAAAGGUCCCCCGUACAACAUCCCUUGGUUUAAUACCCUUGGGAACUGGGUCUGAUUUCGCAAGAACUUUUGGUUGGUCGAACGAUCCUGUUGACGCCAUUGAACGCUUAGAUAUAUUUGUCAGUCCUUAAACUCAUGGAGUAUCAACAGUUUAAAUGAACACAAUAUAAGUAACAAUGAUGAAGUAAUAUAGUAAUUAAGCACACAAUAUUGAAAACCUUCUUUGAGACAUUUAAACAAACACUUGGUGUGCACUAAGGAACCCAUAAGCAAGAAAUGAAAUUUAAAACCAUGGAGCCUAAAAUCAAAAGCCUAAAGUGCAAUCAAGC